GCGGCCGCGGGGCGGAGCCAGGGACGGCGCCCACGGCGGCCGCCAUCUUGGGGGAGGGCAAAGGCGUUCCUGUCGCUUCCCGCCUCUAGGUUCGCCUCAACCGCCACCGCCAUCUUGGAUCAGGGUCACAACCGCCUCUUUUGCGCUCCCGAAGUAGAAUCAGUUCUUUGAGGGUGGAGAAUGUUUCUGACACCUCCUAGCAUCUCUGAGUGCCGGAGCGUAGGAGCUUACCAUAAGGGCCAGUCCAUCUACCUAGUCCACCUAGAAACAGUGCUGUCUGAUAGAACUUUACAGAAAGUUCUAAUCUAUGCUGUCCAAUAAGGUAUCUACUCGUCAUAUGUGACUACUAAGCACUUGAAAUGUGGCAAGUUCAACUGAGGAACUGAAUUUUUAAUCAUAUUUAAUUAAUUUAAAUUUAAACAACCACUUGUGACUGGUGGCUACCAUAUCAGUCACAACAGAUGUAGAAUAUGGUGAUGACCUUAUAACAGGAUAGUCUAGGUUUUGUUGUAGCCACAAAGAACUCUAAAAUCUUGGUGACAUAAGAACAAGGGUUUAUUUCCUGCUUGUGUUAUAUACCCAUUUUGGGUUGGGGGGACCCAGGUGGAUAGAGCAGCCACCAUGUCACAUGUUGCCAGUCAUUUCAUAGAGUCUUGCACUAGCACUUAAAUGCUCUGGCCCAGCAGGGACACAUGUCACUUCUGCUCACAGCUCACUGACCAGGAUUAGUCACACGGUCCUACCUAAACAGGGAGCCAGGAAUGCAGUCCUAACCAUAUUCCAGGGGGACACAGAGCCUCAGACAUUAACCUCCAUUUCAAAAUAUAGAAAAGGAGUUCCCUAGGGGUAAAGAAAGUAGUAUUGUGUUUUCUUGAAAAGUGGAGAAUUGAGUUUCUUUAGAAUUCAAUUAUUCAAUACAUCCUUAUACUUAUUAGAACAGAUUUUUAAAAGCAGGUGAGAGGUGACGCAAAGAGUAAAACAAGCAUUUUGAUAAAAAGUUUAUAUAAGUGAAGUUAGAGCUGACAAAUGUCAGCAAAUGUCUUUUUAGUUCUACAGAGAAAUAUCAUUUAAUAUGAAGAUCUGCAAUGUAAGAAACAAUAGAUUUUUUUUUAAUGUUUGGGAUGGAAUGGAAGAAAAUGUAUUUGUUAUUUUUCUUGGCGCAGGAUAUAUUUGGUACGUUUUUCAUUAGCAAGGAAUAAAAAGUCCUUUCCUUUAAAAAAUAAUAAAUUUCUCACUAGAAAUAUUUGCGGAUUGUGGUUGCCUGAAAAAAUUUAAACAUUUAUUAACUGGACAAUUGAUUGUUUCUUUCCAGACUACACUGUGGAAUCAGAAUCAUCUAGUCCAACAUUUAACAGCAUGCCUUGAAUUCUUUCUAGAAUAUCUACAAGAUUGUUUGAACAGCUCCAGACAUGGGGGACUCGCCAUCUGAUAUCUGAUAACAGACUUCCUAUAAAGCAGGAAGGAUGGUUUCCUGAUGACAAACGCUUCAGUAUCAAGACAUGGAAAGAUAGCACUUGGCUGCCAAUAACGAAUUGCACCAAAGUUACAAAUGCGAACCAAGUCCUGGUAAAUAAUAUUAAUGAUGAUGACCAUUUUGUCUCAUGCUAAAAAUGUCAUAUAGAUCUUAGCAUUAUGAGGAUACUAUGGAUAUCCUUCCAGAAUGUAAUCAAACCAAACUGAUGCUCAAGAGAAACUUUGAACUAAACGUGUAAAUUAGGCUACCAAGGAUAAAUAAGAACUACCUAAGUCACUCUGUUCCUCAGUAGAACACAAUCAUAGAAGCCUUUUAUGCAGGACAGUGUUUGUUUUUAGUUUCCGGGAUCUAUCUGAGUAGUUUAUAACUGGUGGCAGGGACAGAAAGAAAAGGCUGCAAAGAUUGAACAAACAGCAUGCACUGUGGUAUCCUUUAUUUAAAAAUUGUGAGCUAACUAUAGUUGUAGUGUUCUCAUUUACCAUUCUGAUGGCAUAAUGAACUGGGAGAACAUUAACACAAUUUCAAGAAGGCAUUAAAAACCUGUCAACAAACAUACACACCACACAUG